AGCGAACGCUGGCGGCAGGCCUAACACAUGCAAGUCGAACGAAGCCUUCGGGCUUAGUGGCGGACGGGUGAGUAACACGUGGGAACGUACCUUUUGGUUCGGAAUAACGCAGAGAAAUUUGCGCUAAUACCGGAUGAGCCCUUCGGGGAAAGAUUUAUCGCCGAAAGAUCGGCCCGCGUUGGAUUAGGUAGUUGGUGUGGUAAAGGCGCACCAAGCCUACGAUCCAUAGCUGGUCUGAGAGGAUGAUCAGCCACACUGGGACUGAGACACGGCCCAGACUCCUACGGGAGGCAGCAGUGGGGAAUCUUGCGCAAUGGGCGAAAGCCUGACGCAGCCAUGCCGCGUGAAUGAUGAAGGUCUUAGGAUUGUAAAAUUCUUUUACCAGGGACGAUAAUGACGGUACCUGGAGAAAAAGCCCCGGCUAACUUCGUGCCAGCCGCCGCGGUAAGAC
rnacentral:rRNA from 1 species